GGAAUGUGGCUUAGUGGUAAAGUGCUUGCCUAGCAUGCAUGAAGCCCUGGGUUCAAUUCCUCAGUACCA
rnacentral:tRNA from 1 species